UGGGUCUGGUGCCUGGCUGCCUGCCCUUGGUUUCACUUCCUUGUUUUUUUCUUAAAACAGGUACUGAGUAUAAAACAAUAUAAAACAAUAUGAGAGGGUCCGUCUCUUCCCUCACCCUGAUCUCCCCAAAUUUGGUCGAUAUCUAAGGUUUUUUUUUGCUGUACAACUCCUUUUCUGGAGUUUUACUCACUUUCAACAAGGAAGGUGAGUUUUCCUGCUUCCAUGAUGAUGGAGGGCAGGCAACUCCUUUCUGGAGUUUCAGCUCAAUUCCAACAGGGAAGGCGAGUUGGAGUUUUUUUCCUGCUUAUAGGCUGGUAGAGAGCAGUGUUGAGCCUGGACUCCAUUCCUAGGCCACUCCAUUGCUCUGGGCCUGCAGAAAGCCCUCUACAGUGCUGUAUAAAGGAUAUAGUCAAAAGCAGAUCAGUAAGGCAGAGAUUCUACUUCAGACUGCUGCAGACAAGAGCAUAGGGCUCCCUCUCCCCUCUGGCUCCCAGCCAGAGGACUUUCUUCCCAAGAGGAGCAGCACUUCAGCAUCAUUCAUACUGACACCAGCUACUUGUUUCUGAGGCUAAGUAUCAGAUGCGAUUCCUCCCGUGAUCUCAGUGAUUGUAUCAGGCGAAAACGAGGAGGGCAAAAUACCGUCCAGAUGUAAACUAGGAGCAGCCGCACCAGCAGCACCAGCAGAAUGCCGUGGUAGUGCGGCAGGCCCUGGCCCCAUGGACAAAGAGAAACUCGUCAGUGGCAGUGGCCACGAACUCAGAAAGCCUGAGGACAGUCAGCAGCUCCUCUGGCUCUUCACUUUCACACUGGUGCAACUACAGGAGCUGAAGAACAUUUUUCAACUCGUUCCAUACCCGGACGUGUUAGAUGGAGUCUCCCUCUGUCGCCCAGGCUGGAGUGCAGUGGCGCGAUCUCGGCUCACUGCAACCUCCACCUCCCGGUUUUAUGCGAUUCUCCUGCCUCAGCCUCCCGAGUAGCUGGGACUACAGUGGCCUCAGGGAUAUGGAAUUAAGAUCCACCUGGUGUGAUGAAUAAACCCAGACUCUCAGCAACGCAGGAAAAAAAAAACAAAAACUGGCUGGCGAUCUGGAGUAAAGGAUCCUCACAUCCACGUGAACCAGGAAACUCUGUGCCCAAAUCGACGAAAAAAAAACACUGGGAGAGCCGAACUAAAAGUCUUUUAGCACGGGUACCAGCCCUAGAAUUUCCAGUACACCAGCAGCAGCCUGGAAACCACAUCCUCAUCAAAAGACAGAAAGAAAAAAACUCGAGCCAGCCUGAGAAGGACCCUAUUUUAUGCUGUUAACCACUGAGACUGCCAUCCUCACAGCUGAGAAAGGAUGGACCCACCAUACUCAAGUCAAGAAAACAUCUUCCUCGUCAGAAUCAUGGGUUACUGUACUAGGAUUAAGCCUUACUAAGUUAAAGUUAAAGAAAGCUUAAUUUUCAUAUACCUUCUAUAUUGCUUCUUUUCCUUUCCUUAUUCUGUUACUAGCUCCUUUGUUAUUAAUGUAACUAAGUCUGAGUCACCUCAGACCAUUGCCUUUUAUGCUUGCUCUGUCAUACCUUGUGGAAAUGUAAAAGAUCAAUGACAGCUAGCCUUUUCACACAAUUAUUUAUGCCUCGGCCCUCUAAUUGACACAGUUACCCCUAGCACUCAUCGUUGUGAUCACCUGCAGCCAAGACGCUGAUUUUCUGCUCCUAUAGCCUGGCAACCUUGUGGUACAUGGGACUACGUCCUUUAAACUACCCAGGAGCAAAGUUGGACUUCCAUGAAAAAGGUUUGUGCAGAUCUAAAACCUCUCAUCUAUUUCACUAAAAGGACUUCCCCUUCUAACUGUCACCCUUACCAAUGUAACCCUGUCCUCUCUAUCACCACCUCCACCUGUCUUUAACUAACUCUAGACCUGUCCUUAAUUGCUUUUAUGGUAUUGGAAUAGGAAUUAAAAGAAAUUAAAGAAUGUGUAAGGAGAAACUCAGUUGUAUGUAAGAAAACCCAAUUCCCCCUGAGAAAGAGAAAGAGUUGGAGUCCUUUAAAAAUUAACUGCCUGUUUUUCUGUGGCUAGUGAGCCUUAUCUCUCCUCCUUUCCCAGACAUUGUGAAGACCCUGUUUCUCUAGCUGUGCAGCUGCAAGGUCACUAGACAGAUAAACUCAAGUUGUAAAACAUGUUUUUCCUUGAAAAGUAAGAAAUGCUGUAAUGCAUUUCUCAAUUAAUUAAAUAACUGUCUUUGUUUCUCGCUUCUGUAAUAUGCUUCCCCCUGCACAGAUCUCCACCCACCCUACAAAAUGCUUAAAAGGUAACUUAACUCUUUGUUCUGGGCUCAGUCCUUUGGGCUGAGUACUGGGCCGGUGCACCUAAAUAAUAAAUAUCUUCCUGAACCCCAUUUGUCU
rnacentral:lncRNA from 10 species